rnacentral:lncRNA from 1 species
AAGAAGGGUGACCUUCAUGACACUCAUUAGUACACAAGAUUCAAGAGUGUGCUUUGCUGUGCAGUGAGCUCUAAACAAGUCUGAUCUUAUCUGGGAAGGCUCAGGCCCAUCUGAGAACAUGCACGUGGCUUAUUGAGACCUUGGCGCUGAUCAAUAGAAAUAGUGUUCUCAACUGCUGCUGGAAGAUGGGUAAUGUGCCAACAUCAUAACAAGGUUCAAGGGAGGCACAUCUCAUACGAGUGUGAAAAGGCAAUCAUCAUGCUUAUGAACUACAAGAUUAUCCUAUAUAUUCAUUUUCAAUUAUUUUAUCCUCCUCUGCCUCUUGCCCUGGACUAUAUAAGACCUGCAAUAUAAUGUUGAAUAAGGAAGGUGAAAACGAACAUCAUUGCAUCACUCCUGAUAUCAAAGCAUGGUGAAUUAUAUUAAUUUUUGGAUAUUAAACCAACCUAAAGUUCCUGGUCAUGAAGCAUUAUCCUUUUUAUAUAUUAUUGUAUUUGAUUUGCCUAAGAUGUCUGCUAUUAUUUCCAGAAACCAGAAACCAUACCGCCGCC